UACGAAGGGGGCUAGCGUUGCUCGGAAUCACUGGGCGUAAAGGGUGCGUAGGCGGGUCUUUAAGUCAGAGGGGAAAUCCUGGAGCUCAACUCCAGAACUGCCUUUGAUACUGAGGAUCUUGAGUACGGGAGAGGUGAGUGGAACUGCGAGUGUAGAGGUGAAAUUCGUAGAUAUUCGCAAGAACACCAGUGGCGAAGGCGGCUCACUGGCCCGUAACUGACGCUGAGGCACGAAAGCGUGGGGAGCAAACAGG
rnacentral:rRNA from 1 species